rnacentral:rRNA from 1 species
GAUGAACGCUGGCGGCGUGCUUAACACAUGCAAGUCGAACGGAAAGGCUCCUGCUUGCAGGGGUACUCGAGUGGCGAACGGGUGAGUAACACGUGGGUGAUCUGCCCUGCACUUCGGGAUAAGCCUGGGAAACUGGGUCUAAUACCGGAUAGGACCACAUUUUGGAUGGUGUGGUGGAAAGUUUUUCGGUGUGGGAUGAGCUCGCGGCCUAUCAGCUUGUUGGUGGGGUAAUGGCCUACCAAGGCGUCGACGGGUAGCCGGCCUGAGAGGGUGUACGGCCACAUUGGGCCUGGAAAACGGCCCGGACCCCACCGGGGGGAGGCGGGGGGGAAAUUUGCACAAGGGGCGCAGGCCUGAGGAGGGGACGCCGGGGGGGGAUGACGGCCUUCGGGUUGUAAACUCCUUUCGCUAGGGACGAAGCGUUUUUGUGACGGUACCUGGAGAAGAAGCACCGGCUAACUACGUG